AUUCGAUUGAUGGUUUGAGUUGAAACAGCCAUGAUGGGUGGUUUCAAACUUGUGUUUUGUGUGUUGUUGUGUCACCACUUUUUACACAAAGGGCAAACUUCUCCUGUGGGACAUAAAACUUACAAGAAUAAUGUUGAGCAAGAACUUCUGGGGAGUCAAGGAAACCAAAUGCCAAUUUCUUACCAAGUCAACAACCAAAAUCCAAGACCAGUGGUAGCAAAGUGCAACAUGGCUGUUCUGCUGUCUUUAAGAAAUGCA